UUCCUAUGUGGCAAACAUUGAAAUGUUCACGUUCAAUAUUAGUGUUUGCCGUUGUAGUACCAGUACACCAGAUGGCACCCUUGAGCUUCAUCCGGCUGACUUCCGUGAAACUUUUUGGGUUUUUGCACGCGUCUAUUUGAGAAAAUUUAACACUGGAAACAAAGCAGGUGGAGAGCAACACAUUUUCUGCAAAAUUUACUCUGAACACAGUUUAAUGAAGAAUGAAAAACAGAGAUAUCAGGAAAAUAUUACAUUACCCUGACAGCUGAAAAAUCCUUUCCUUAUAUAUAACAAAAAGCUGAUUAUCAUCUGCACUGACACACUGUACUGGGAUCAUGUACUAUUGUAAGAGGAUCUCUGUGACUGAAAUGUAAGUUGAACAAAGACAUCUUCCUGUUAAAAACCUCCCACAUGCUUUACUCUGCUAGCCGGCACUAACUAUUUCUGCACAUGGCUGAGAUCCCCAGGCAAAUCUGUGAUGAUCUUUACAAUGUUAACCUUGAGCCAUGUUUUCUUGCUAAAAUCAUCUUCACUAGAUAGGUCUGCACAAAUAAGCUACGGAAACACAAAACAUGCGGAUAGUCCAUUCAAGGUACAAAUG